AUUGAACGCUGGCGGCAUGCCUUACACAUGCAAGUCGAACGGUAACAGGUCUUCGGAUGCUGACGAGCGGCGAACGGGUGAGUAAUACAUCGGAACGUGCCUAGUAGUGGGGGAUAACUACUCGAAAGAGUGGCUAAUACCGCAUGAGAUCUACGGAUGAAAGCAGGGGAUCGCAAGACCUUGUGCUACUAGAGCGGCAGAUGGCAGAUUAGGUAGUUGGUGGGAUAAAAGCUUACCAAGCCGACGAUCUGUAGCUGGUCUGAGAGGACGAUCAGCCACACUGGGACUGAGACACGGCCCAGAGUCCUACGGGAGGCAGCAGUGGGGGAUGUUGGACAAUGGGCGCAAGCCUGAUCAAGCAAUGCCGCGUGCAGGAUGAAGGCCUUCGGGUUGUAAACUGCUUUUGUACGGAACGAAAAGCCCUGGGUUAAUACCCUGGGGUCAUGACGGUACCGUAAGAAUAAGCACCGGCUAACUACGUGCCAGCAGCCGCGGUAAAAC
rnacentral:rRNA from 1 species